CCCUAACAACUAAACCCGUAGACUUCCUAUAUAGUUCUCGCUGUCGCUGAGACUCCAUACUCGGCCAUUGAAGUGCGAUUCUGGUCAGUUACCUUUGUCUUGGCUCUCAGAUUCAGAUUGGUCCUUAUGGAUGAAUGAUGAUACAAUAGAAAUAACAGGCUUAUUUGACACACACAGAGAAAAGUAAAGGAUGUGGUUGGUGGAUCCUAUUUGAUAAGCAAACCACUGGGUGAUCGCCAAGAAACUUUCUAAGGCCAUGUCUUGGAAGAUCUUGAUUUCCACCUUGAGUAAUACUCUUGUUGUCAUUAUUUGCAUGAUGAAGUUUGACUCAACUUAUUCUGCGGGAGAUUUCUGUGUGUGCAAACAAUAGUCGCAAGCUUGUACUGUAUCUUUCUCGGUAUAAAAAAACCAGAGUCUUCUUUCA